rnacentral:tRNA from 1 species
AGCUCAGUCGGUAGAGCAUGGGACUCUUAAUCCCAGGGUCAUGGGUUCGGGCCCCAC